UUGGAGGGCAAGUCUGGUGCCAGCAGCCGCGGUAAUUCCAGCUCCAAUAGCGUAUAUUAAAGUUGUUGCAGUUAAAAAGCUCGUAGUUGAAUUUCGGGAUCAAUGCGUCGGUCGUGCCUUCGGUACGUACUAGCGUCAUUGAUUCCUCCCUUCUGAAGAACCGUGAUGUCAUUAAUUUGGUGUUACGGGGAAUCAGGACUGUUACCUUGAAAAAAUUAGAGUGUUUAAAGCAGGCUAACGCUUGAAUACAUUAGCAUGGAAUAAUGAAAUAGGACGUUCGAACCUAUUUUGUUGGUUUCUAGGAUCGACGUAAUGAUUAAUAGGGAUAGUUGGGGGCAUUAGUAUUCAAUUGUCAGAGGUGAAAUUCUUGGAUUUAUUGAAGACUAACUACUGCGAAAGCAUUUGCCAAGGAUGUUUUCAUUAAUCAAGAACGAAAGUUAGGGGAUCGAAGACGAUCAGAUACCGUCGUAGUCUUAACCAUAAACUAUGCCGACUAGGGAUCGGAUGAUGUUAAUUUUAUAAUGACUCAUUCGGCACCUUACGGGAAAC
rnacentral:rRNA from 1 species